CACGCCGUAAACGAUGAUCACUCGCUGUUAGCGAUACACAGUUAGCGGCUAAGCAAAAGCAUUAAGUGAUCCACCUGGGGAGUACGGCCGCAAGGCUGAAACUCAAAGGAAUUGACGGGG
rnacentral:rRNA from 1 species